AUUUGAUGUCCUUUUUUUUUUUUUUUUUUUUGUACCAGGGAUUAAACCCAGGCAUGCUUAAUCACUGAGCCAUAGCCCCAGCCCUUUUUAUGUUUGUUUGUUUGAGACAGGGUCUCACUAAGUUGUUUAGGGCCUCGCUAAGUUGCUGAGGCUGGCUUUGAACUUGCAAUCCUCCUGCCUCAGCCUCUUGAGAAGCCGGGAUUGUAGGCAUGCACCACCAUGCCCAACUUUUCAUAUUUUUUGAUAGUAAAUUAUGUAUAGCAAACUAUAAAUUGCCCUAAGGGAAGCCAAUGUCCUGUAUACAUACACAGACUGCACAUUCUGCCCACUGCUUCUUUUCUCUUUGCUUAACUGCAGUGAUCCUUUUUGCUAUAUGUUGUACCAUUGGAGGUUGUUUCUAGAUGUGUGCUAUUAUAAACUUGUAGAGAAUAUCCUGACAUAGAGACCUCUAAACCUAGCCUGUGUUUGCAAUUUGCCUCUCUGUAAUCUCUAGUAACAAACUUCACUGCCUGCCAGCACCAUCCUCGCCAAGGGAGCACAGGGUGAAGGGAGCCUGCUCAAGACACAGUGAAUGAGUGACUAGCCCCAGUGAAGCUCAGGACUCAGGACCUGUUGGCUAGGGUACCAGGUUGCUCCUUUCACUUGGGUUCCAUAUCAGAAAAGGGCUUCACACAGUGCCAGGCAUCUAAUUAGGGGUCAGUAUUAACUGUGACAUCAUGGCAGCCUGUCACUAUGCCUUUCAAUUGCUGCCUUUUCCAUGGCAGAACCAGGAAACCCUGCAGGGACAGUGGAGCUUGCUGUCCCUGCUGAGCAUAAGCCAGCAAUUAGGACCUGGGCGGCCAGGCUAAUGGCCUCCUCAGCCACAGACAGGUGGGUGUGCCUCGCUCAGUACCAGAGAGUGCUCUGAGAGUGUGCUGCUGCCACAAGUAAUUGCUUCCCCUGAAGCUGUUCCUCUGGGUGUUGGUAGUCAUGCCUCGGCACUCCCCUUAGGGAAUCUGAUUAUCCAGCCCAGCUGGAUGGGGAACUAGGAAACAAAAGCCACCUACCAAACAGAAGAAGCAGAACAGCUGCUCCAACUCUUUCCUUGGGAUGAUGUGGCCUCCACAGGCAAGUGGCUUUGGAAGGUGCCUUAUUUCCUGCCCAGAGGCCUGGGCUGCCUCUUAGGCUUGAGGCCCAUAUUUGUAGUACUCCUAUGUGCUUGGGGAGGGUUUCUGAGCUGCCUGGCCUGUGGUAGGUAGACUCCAGAGUCACCAUUUUUUUUUUCAAGUUGUAGAUUGACACAGUAACUUUGUUUGUUUGUUUAUGUGUGCUGAGGAUUGAACCCAGUGCCUCACACAUGCUAGGCAAGUGCUCUACCACUGAGCCACAACCCCUGCCCAGAACCCAGAGUCUUGACUUCAGGUUCACACCUGCUAUGGGCUUUGGCAUAGACCGACUGGUAUGGACCUGGGUCCCAGAUCUGCUGUUUCUUACUCCAUGGCCUUGAACAGCAGGCUCAACUUGCAUGCUCUCUAUCUAAAUCCUACCAGCUUUUAUUUUUAAUUUUUCUUUUGAUAAAAAAAAAAUACACACACAUAAGUUUUAAAAGUCAAACACUAAAUGGUUGCUAACGCAGGUUCUGUUCACCAUCACAAAUUCCCCAGUUCUUGUCCCACUCCAUCCAGUUGUCUAUUUCUUUUCUUUUUUUCUUUUAUUAUAACUGGGGAUUUAACCCAGAAGCAAUUUACCACCGAGCUACAUCCCCAGCCCUUAUUGUUUUUGGGUUUUUUGUUUGUUUGUUUGUUUUGUUUUUUGUUUUUUUAGACAACUUAACAGGGUCUCACUAAGUUGCUUUGGGCCUUGCUAAGUUGAUGAGGCUGGGUUUGGACUUGGCAAUCCUCCUGUCUCAGUCUCCUGAGCCACUGGAAUUAUAGGCGUGCACUACCACACCCACCCUUUAUAUUUCUAAGUCAUUCACAUAUAUUGUCAUUUCUUGCUCUUUCACCUGAAUAUCAUUGCCUUCCUAUGAGGGGAAAAGUGAGUCUAAUAACCACCUUUCCACACCCACUCAUCCUUCCAAGGUUAUGAUUUGGGGGAAAUUGCUAGUCAAUGUUUACAUGCUUUAAACUACUGUAUAUAAACAUUUUUUUUCCUAGUAAACCAAAAGUGGUGGUAUUCUAUUAUUGUGCUAUAAUCCUUUUUUUUUAAUUAAGCUAUAAUUAAAUAUCUCAUCUUAUUCGUUUAGUUUUUUUGUUUGUUUGUUUGUUUUGGUGCUUUACGCUCUUCUUUAUAAAAUCUGGCUAAACACCAUAAAGCUUUUCUCAACAUGACUAAUCCCUCAAAUUGUGGCUUUUGUGUUUUCCCCAGAGGUGUUGCACCAGAAACCCCUCACCCUCCCAUUCACUCUCACCAUCCUGUCCACUGGCCCCCAGAGUGAAGAGACUGAAAAUCAGUGAGGUAGAAAAAUUGAGGCAGAAAUGCAACCCUGGCAGGAAAUGGAGUUAUGGUCAAUGGUCAGCACUUGACCCAAGGAUGCUGUAACUCAGUGUGAAUAGCCUACAUGUAAAUAGGACCACUCAGUGGUUUUAAUUGUGGCUUGGGCCAGGGGUCUCUGACCCUGACCACAGAGGACAGAGAGACAGGUCUCCCUGUUCAUCUUAAGUGACCCUUUCUGGUGAGAUUAGCAAGCCCAUUUCCAUCCCUUAUCCCAGGCAUAUCUAAGAACAAGUUAGGCCAUGAGUCUGGCCUGACAGAUCCAUGCUUUUUUUCCCAUGGCGGCUUUUCCUUAAACAUGCUAAACCAGCCUUACCCAAUUGCUGGGCUGAGCACACCUCCUAGGGCUACCAGCACCUGGCACAUCACAAACAGGGCUGCUUUUGGCCACUAUACCUUGUCUUGUCUCCUCCAUACAGCAGGUAUUAGCUCUGAGCCCAUUUCCUGCAAGUUCCCCACUGCAGGCAACUCUUUUUCCAUUGCUGGUCAGAGGAUGCUAAGGUCAACAGUAAGAUUAAGGUGAUAGCCGGGCUUGGUGGCACAUGCCUGUAAUCCCAAUAGUUCGGGAGGCUGAGGCAGGAGGAUUGUGAGUUCAAAUCCAGCCUCAGCAAUUUAGUGAGACCCUAAGCAACUCAGUGAGACCCUGUCUAUAAAUAAAAUAUUAAAAGGAUGUGACUCAGUGGUUAAGCACACCUGGGAACAAUCCCUGGUACCAAAAAAAAAAGAUUAAGGUGAUGCUGGAGGCCUAGGCCCAAGAGCCCAAUCACCAAAUGUCCACAAAUAAGCAACUCCUGACUUGGUGCAGCACACAUUCUUGAAUGGGACAGAGAGCCUCCUGAGCUGAGAGCUCUUGAAUGGACACCCAUUAUACCUCACACCAGAGAAGCUUGUGCAUGAUUAGAGGCCUCUGAUGACCACCAUUCAGCUCAUAGGGCUUUCUUACCUUGGCAGUUACACAUGACACUGCCAUCCAUGUGUUCCUGCAAGUCACGCCUAAAGGGUGCUCUGCCACUAGGACUACCAGAGGAGCAUAGGAAGAUGGUGCAGGGCACAUGUUCUCUGCCUCAGUCAGUAAGGGAAAAGGCAUGGCAUCAGAGAGAGAAGGAAGAUGCAUAGAUCUCUUCAUAAGGCUACAUGCUUUCUAAACAGACAAUUUACUGGGAUUUAAUCUACAACUCAGAUUCAAUUGGCUAAGUAAGGAAGAAGAAAGUGUGUGGUUGUCAUGGCAACAUCAAAUUGCCCAGGAUCAGGUUUGUCUCUAAGGAGGGGGAAAGGGGGUAGCAAAGCCAAGCCUCCAUCUUCUUGGCAGGGAUGUUAUGGAAAUUGGGGGAGCAGGCUGGUCCCACUUGCAUGAAGUAGAGAGCAUUCUUCCCACCACCCAGAUCAGGGCUGAGGGCCUGAGCCAUGUGGUGUAUUGCAGAGGGGUCUGGCUGGCUCAGGGACCUCACUGUGGGGCCUGGGGACUCUGAUUGCCCAAGCAUGUCAACUUUCAGACAUCCUCUUGCUGAGGGCCAGUUCUUUUCUUGGGGGCUAGCCCCUCCCAGAGCAUCUUGUCCUGCUCCCUAAUCCUAGUUUUCUUAGCAGAACUUUUGCCUGUUGGCCUGGCUGUGGAUGUGGGCACAGCCUGAGACAUCCUCUGAGUCUGUCUGAAGGAUCAAGGGAACUGAAGCCUCAUCCAGAGAGUGCCAAUCAAAGCUGGUGCUGCCAUUCCUAAAUACUCAGUGCUGCUGGCCUGGCUUCUUCCUCCCCACUAAGAAUAAAAUGGAGUCAGCUAGAGAAGUUGCCCCACAUGGGCAACCUCGGCCCAUUCCUAGGUGGCUGUAGAUGGCAGGGGAGAAGGCUGCUCAAAUGGGGAAGACUUUAAGCAAUGGGAAAAUUCCCUGGCCCUAAACCCACUUUAUCCCUAUUUGGCUUCUGAUCAUCCAGUGCUCUUGGCCUCCCAAGACAAGGUCCUAUCUCCUCAGCAGCCUCCAAGUCACUCACUGACCAGCUAAGCCCUGCCCAUUCAUCUCUGUGGACCCUGGGCUUGGCCACAGGAGGGGCUCUACUGACACCUAAUACAUAAGAUGAAUGAAUGAAUGAAUGAAUGGUUAACUUGGGUAGUGAGGACUGGGAAUAGAAGAAUUUUUUUAAAAAAAGGUCAGAUUUGCAGGGGAACCUGGUAGGUUCUCCCCAGGUAGGAAACUGGGGGACCAUAAAUGCCAAAUUGAGAGGGGAGGGGAGGUGUCAGGCUCCCCCUAUCUUCUACCCUCGAUCUAAGACAACUCCCUGACAGAUGUGCCCCUAUCACCUGAUUCCCCUCAGAGAGACAGGGAGCCCGGGGCCCAUUCCCCAGAGCCUAGCUCACCUGGUCUUUGAAGAGGGCUGCCUCUCUAGAACCCAGCAGACCUGAUUGUUUUUUUUUAACACACUCUGUGGGCUCUCCCAUUUGUCCAAU
rnacentral:lncRNA from 1 species